rnacentral:rRNA from 1 species
GCUACGGGUGGCAGCAGUAGGGAAUAUUGCUCAAUGGGGGAAACCCUGAAGCAGCAACGCCGCGUGGAGGAUGAAGGUUUUCGGAUUGUAAAAUCCUUUUGUUAGAGAAGAUAAUGACGGUAUCUAACGGAUAAGCACCGGCUAACUUCGUGCCAGCAGCCGCGGUAAUACGGAGGGCGCAAGCGUUACUUGGUAUCACUGGGCGUAAAGAGCGCGUCGGCGGGAUAGCAAGUCAGAUGUGAAAUCCUAUGGCUUAACCCUAGAACUGCAUUUGAAACUGUUAUUCUAGAGUAUGGGAGAGGUAGGUGGAAUUCUUGGUGUAGGGGUAAAAGCCGUAGAGAUCUAGAGGAAUCCUCAUUGCGAAGGCGACCUGCUAGAACAUAACUGACGCUGAUGCGCGAAAGCGUGGGGAGCAAACAGGAUUAGAUACCCGUGUAGUC